GGUGAGAGUGGCGAACGGGUGAGUAACGCGUGAUUAACCUGCCGUGUAGUUUGGAAUAGCUCCUGGAAACGGGUGGUAAUGCCGAAUGUUCCACAUGCUCGCAUGGGUGUGUGGGAAAACGUUUUAGUGCUAUGCGAUGGGAUCGCGUCCUAUCAGCUUGUUGGUGGGGUAGUGGCCUACCAAGGCUUCGACGGGUAGCCGGCCUGAGAGGGCGACCGGCCACAUUGGGACUGAGAUACGGCCCAGACUCC
rnacentral:rRNA from 1 species